rnacentral:tRNA from 1 species
GUCCCAGUAGCUCAGCAUGAUAGAGCGGCAGCCUCCCAGGCUGUAGGUCAUAGGUUCGAUUCCUAUCUGGGACG